rnacentral:lncRNA from 1 species
GUAGAUGAUUCGUUAAUUAGAUUAAAUUUUUGGUAAUAUUUAUGACAUUAUGCUGUAAAAUUUGGAGAAUUAUUUGGAGAAUUAUAAGUGAUUUAUGUAAUAGAAUAGUGAGGAUUUUGGUGUCUUGGUAUAGAUACCAAAAAGAGAUCUGAUAGGAAACGACACAGAAAUAGUUUUAGUGGAAAUAUGUGAGUCAUAUCAUGUGCGCUGACGGAAAAGAUAAUGAAAAUGAUGACGGUCUAAAAUAUAUAUUGGAAAUUGAACAUGUAAUCGCAAGGUAUUGAAGAGACAUUAAAGAUCAGACCUGGUACCAUAGUACCCGUCAAAUCAAUCUGAUAGAAAACGAUAUAAGAUCGUGUUAGCUCUUAAACGUACCUCAUUUUGUAUGUCGGGACGGGCGGCUCCCGUUGACGGUGGAGAUCAUGUGAGUAAUUCCAUGUUGUGAUAGUCUAGUAGACAUAUGUGGAAUUGAAUAUGAACAUGUAAUCGCAAGGUAUUGAAGAGACAUUAAAGAUCAGACCUGGU